rnacentral:rRNA from 1 species
CCUACGGGUGGCAGCAGUGAGGAAUAUUGGUCAAUGGCCGAGAGUCUGAACCAGCCACGUAGCGUGAAGGAUGGCUGCCCUAUGGGUUGUAAACUUCUUUUAUAUGGGAAUAAAAUGUUCCACGUGUGGGAUUUUGUAUGUACCCUCUACAUAAGGAUCGGCUAACUCCAUGCCAGCAGCCGCGGUAAUACGGAGGGUCCGAGCGUUAUCCGGAUUUAUUGGGUUUAAAGGGAGCGUAGGUGGAUUGUUAAGUCAGUUGUGAAAGUUUGCGGCUCAACCGUGAAAUUGCAGUUGAAACUGGCAGUCUUGAGUACAGUAGAGGUGGGCGGAAUUCGUGGUGUAGCGGUGAAAUGCGUAGAUAUCACGAAGAACUCCGAUUGCGAAGGCAGCUCACUGGACUGCAACUGACACUGAGGCUCGAAAGUGUGGGUAUCAAACAGGAUUAGAUACCCUUGUAGUC